rnacentral:lncRNA from 1 species
UUGCGCAUCGCCUGUUUAUGUGGCCGUUCGGGCCGGCAGUUUCGUGGACCUCGCGCAUCAACUGCUUGUGAGGCCGUAUGGGCCGGCAGUUUCGUGGACCUCGCGCAUCAACUGCUUAUGAGGCCGUUCGGGCCGGCAGUUUCGUGGACCUCGCGCAUCAACUGCUUAUGAGGCCGUUCGGGCCGGCAGUUUCGUGGACCUCGCGCAUCAACUGCUUGUGAGGCUGUUCGGGCCGGCAGUUUUGUGGACCUCGCGCAUCAACUGCUUAUGAGGCCGUUCGGGCCGGCAGUUUCGUGGACCUCGCGCAUCAACUGCUUAUGAGGCCGUUCGGGCCGGCAGUUUCGUGGACCUCGCGCAUCAACUGCUUAUGAGGCCGUUUGGGCCAGGCAGUUUUCGUGGAAUUGCGCAUCGCCUGUUAUGUGGCCGUUUGGGCCAGGCAGUUUUCGUGGAAUGCGCAUCGCCUGUUAUGUGGCCGUUUGGGCCAGGCAGUUUUCGUGGAAUUGCGCAUCGCCUGUUAUGUGGCCGUUUGGGCCAGGCAGUUUUCGUGGAAUGCGCAUCGCCUGUUAUGUGGCCGUUUGGGCCAGGCAGUUUUCGUGGAAUUGCGCAUCGCCUGUUAUGUGGCCGUUUGGGCCAGGCAGUUUUCGUGGAAUUGCGCAUCGCCUGUUAUGUGGCCGUUUGGGCCAGGCAGUUUUUCGUGGAAUGCGCAUCGCCUGUUAUGUGGCCGUUUGGGCCAGGCAGUUUUCGUGGAAUUGCGCAUCGCCUGUGUAUGUGGCCGUUUGGGCCAGGCAGUUUUCGUGGAAUUGCGCAUCGCCUGUUAUGUGGCCGUUUGGGCCAGGCAGUUUUCGUGGAAUUGCGCAUCGCCUGUUAUGUGGCCGUUUGGGCCAGGCAGUUUUCGUGGAAUUGCGCAUCGCCUGUUAUGUGGCCGUUUGGGCCAGGCAGUUUUNNN